rnacentral:rRNA from 1 species
UUGAACGCUGGCGGCAUGCCUAACACAUGCAAGUCGAACGGUAACGGACCGCUGGGAUUCCUUCGGGAUGACCUUGGUGCCGACGAGUGGCGGACGGGUGAGUAAUACUUAGGAAUCUGCCCAGUAGUGGGGGACAACAUUCGGAAACGGAUGCUAAUACCGCAUACGCACUACGGUGGAAAGUGGGGGAUCUUCGGACCUCACGCUAUUGGAUGAGCCUAAGUCGGAUUAGCUUGUUGGUGGGGUAAUGGCCUACCAAGGCUACGAUCUAUAGCUGGUCUGAGAGGAUGAUCAGCCACACUGGGACUGAGACACGGCCCAGACUCCUACGGGAGGCAGCAGUGGGGAAUAUUGGACAAUGGGCGCAAGCCUGAUCCAGCCAUGCCGCGUGUGUGAAGAAGGCCUUCGGGUUGUAAAGCACUUUCAGUGGGGAAGAAAAGCCUGAGGUUAAUACCCUCGGGUCUUGACGGUACCCACAGAAGAAGCACCGGCUAAUUCCGUG